rnacentral:rRNA from 1 species
CUGGCGGGAAACCUCAAUACAUGCAAGUCGAACGGAGACAGUACCAAUAUUGUCUUAGUGGCGAACGGGUGAGUAACGCGUUGGUGACCUGCCUCGAAGAGAGGGAUAACAGUUCGAAAGGAUUGCUAAUACCUCAUGUGGUUGUUUGGGUUAGAGACCUUACAACUAAACGGAUUUAUUCUCUUCGAGAGGGGCCUGCGUCCCAUCAGCUAGUUGGUAGGGUAAUGGCCUACCAAGGCGAUGACGGGUAGGGGACCUGAGAGGGUGGCCCCCCACAAUGGAACUGAAACACGGUCCAUACACCUACGGGUGGCAGCAGUAGGGAAUAUUGGUUAAUCUGGGAAACCGGGAACCAGCAACGCCGCGUGUGCGAUGAAGGCCUUCGGGUUGUUAAAGCACUUU